ACACAAAUGAAGGCUCAUCUGGAGAAGAUAUAGUAAUUUCUGGGCUAGUUCCAGGCACCAGUUACAUUUUCACCCUUAGAAAUGUCAUCGGUGUUGCAGGCAAAACAACCUGCUCUUCUACUCAGGACAAAGGCUACUCUAACAUCCUGAGAAGUGCAGAUGUCAAUGUAACUAGAUGCACACUGCCAGCUGACCCAUUCAUAUCAAGGAAUGCUCUUUCUUCUGACAAAGCAUCAAUCACUGUACACUUCAACGAAGUGACAGCUUCGAAAGGAUCACGAGAUCACAUUGAGGUUUCUACUCUCUUCCCUAAUUCAUCUCCUGCAUUCACUAACGCGGGCUCAUCUGGAAAAGACAUAGUCAUUACUGGGCUAGUUCCAGGCACUAGUUACACUGUCACUCUCAAGAAUGUAAUCGGUAUUGCAGGCAAAACUCUAUGUGCCUCUAGUCAGGAUGAUGG